rnacentral:tRNA from 1 species
GGUGGCUCAGUGAUAGAGCACUUGCCUUGCAUGCAUGAGGUCCUGGGUUCGAUUCCUCAGCACCA